AUCACAACCAGUUACAGAUUUCU
rnacentral:piRNA from 1 species